UACGGGGGGGGCAAGCGUUGUUCGGAAUUACUGGGCGUAAAGGGCUCGUAGGCGGCCAACUAAGUCAGACGUGAAAUCCCUAGGCUCAACCUAGGAACUGCGUCUGAUACUGGAUGGCUUGAGUGUGGGAGAGGGAUGCGGAAUUCCAGGUGUAGCGGUGAAAUGCGUAGAUAUCUGGAGGAACACCGGUGGCGAAGGCGGCGUUCUGGACUGCAACUGACACUGAGGAACGAAAGCCAGGGGAGCAAACGGG
rnacentral:rRNA from 1 species